ACGGAAGGCAGCAGUGGGGAAUAUUGGGCAAUGGGCGAAAGCCUGACCCAGCAACGCCGCGUGAAGGAAGAAGGUCUUCGGAUUGUAAACUUCUUUUAUGAGGGACGAAGGACGUGACGGUACCUCAUGAAUAAGCCACGGCUAACUACGUGCCAGCAGCCGCGGUAAUACGUAGGUGGCGAGCGUUAUCCGGAUUUACUGGGUGUAAAGGGCGCGUAGGCGGGGUUGCAAGUCAGAUGUGAAAUCUAUGGGCUUAACUCAUAAACCGCAUUUGAAACUGUAUCUCUUGAGGGUCGGAGAGGUAACUGGAAUUCCUGGUGUAGCGGUGAAAUGCGUAGAUAUCAGGAGGAACACCGGUGGCGAAGGCGGGUUACUGGACGAUUACUGACGCUGAGACACGAAAGCGUGGGGAGCAAACAGGAUUAGAUACCCUGGUA
rnacentral:rRNA from 1 species